rnacentral:misc_RNA from 1 species
AAGUCGUAACAAGGUUUACCGUGAGGUGAACCUGCGGAAGGAUCCAAUUGACCGUGGGGAUUGCGGUCCCCAUUGAGAUAGCACCCUUUGUUCAUGAGUACCCUUGUUUCCUCGGCGGGCCUGCCCGCCAGUAGGACAAUAUCAAAACCCUUUUGCAGUAGUAGUAACUUCAGUUAAUAAACAAAUAUUAAAA